UCCAUUUACACAUUAUUGUCUAUGCUACAAGAUGGCCGACGAAGCGAUCGAGAAAUUUCCUCGACUUAAAAGACAAAGUUACCAUACGUAUUAAAUCUUUACGGUUCUCGAAAUUGAAGCAUCUUCAUGAGAAUCAAAAUAGAAGUGAGACUGAAGCCGAACAUGUGAACAUAAUUUUGGUGAAACUACUCCUUGUCCAGUGUCCGCUGCAGCACCACGUGGGUACACCGGUAUCGAUCUGUGCCUGAUCUUGUUUUCUGUAUAGACAUGACCCUACAGAUGUUAAUUGGUAUGACGGAAGAAGUAAAAUUUUUGGAGAACAGAUUUUUUGUAUGCUGUGUCCGUGUCAGAUACAUAAGGUGAAGCAAGCUAUGAAAUAGACAGUGUAUUUAGCUUUCUCUGCUGAAAUAAUGUGACCAAAUCAAGUGUCACCUGGAAAGAGGAAUGCCAAGGGUGCUUUUUAGAUUAACUCCAAAAUAGCCAUUGGAAAGUUCAAGCCAGAUCUGCUACAUCAAACUGAACAUAAAGUGGCAUACUUAUGUGUCAGGAAACAAGGAACAUGUAUGGCUGGACUGAGAAUCUAACCGGGGAACCCUGCAUCACUAGUUACAUAUCCCAUGGAAUAAAGGAUCCUUGGCUAAUCAAGUGUCGAUCAUCUGCAGUGUUACAAAAGAAUAUUGGAUUUAUAUCAAUAAGAAAAAAAACUACCAGAAGGAGACGUUAAAGAGGAACGGACAUAUCACACCAUAAGUUGUGCUUCACAAUCUGAAUAUACAGAGUGAAUUUUGCUUGCUUCAGAUCCUUGUGAAAGAACACCUUUGUUGUAUUGACAUAAAAACAACAGAAUUUUGUCAGGAUCAUUGAACAUGACGCAACUGGCUGCAUACGAUGGCAAUAAAAGAUGCAUACAUGUUUACAUUGAUCUUUGUUAGCCAAUAAGACAAAAAGCAAAAUAGCAAGUUUAUCCUAUUACCGUACAUGUACUGAAUGUAUUCACUUUAUUUUGUUGAACUACAUCAUGAUACUUUUGUAUGUAUGUAAUGAUAACCAAAUCACCCAAUUUUCCCGCACUUUUUACCAUUUAUUUAGCAUUUUUUUUUAACCAUGCUUUAGUGUAUUAAUAUCUGACAACUGAUGACCAGGCAGUCUUCAUUUAACAGACGUGUAAUAAUGUAUCUGAAUAUUUUUAAAACAAGGAUAACAUGCCAUGGAUUGAUUCUAUGUUAAAAACUUCAUAAUCACUGGGUUUUCUUAUUUAUGUUGUACAUGUAUUUGGAAUAAAAAAGGAAUUGUUAAAAGAAAAGUGAAAUUAAUCAUUCUAUUCUUGUCAAAAAAAGAUAAUAAAACCAGUUUACUUAUGCACAGAAUUGGCCAAAACAUAUUGUCAUUGAUAAUUCAUCCAAGAAUCAUAUGUAUAAUAAAUCUACAAAGUCAAUUUGAACGAUAUCAAGGAAAGUUCUUAUCUUUUUUAAUAUAAGUGCAAAAAGGUCAAGCAGGGCAACAUAUGUCCAGGUGUACAUGUAUAAAUUGUUUUAUGUGAUAUAGAAUGUAAUUUAAAAGAAUAUUACUUGAAAUUUUACUCAUUUUCUUUGAAAUAUUUUGAUUAAUUCUAUCUAUCAAAGUCAAUUUGAACGAUAUAAAAGAAGGUUCUUAUCUUUUUUAAUAUAAGUGCAAAAAGGUCAAUCAGGGCAACAUGUGUCUGGGUGUACAUGUAUAAAUUGUUUUUGUGAUACAAAAUGUAAUUUAGAAGAAAAUUACAAAGAAUUUACAGAUUUUCUGUGAAAUAUUUUGAUAAAUUCUUGAUAAUCUCUCUUAGUCACCAUAUUCUUCAAAAUUGCAUCCUUCUAAAGGAAGGGGGUAGGGUAGGGUGUAAGAUAAUAAACUUGUUCCAGGUUGAAUUUAAACCCCAUUAUGUAGUAUGAUUUUCUUCUAAAAUUUAAGACACUUAUAGACUAACUAUAAUAUGCAAUAAAAAAAGAAAUUUGAUGGGUAAUUUUUUCACAGUUGAAGCAGAAGUGUGAGACCUUGUGCAAUGAAUAGGCAAUAUUUUAACCUAAUUUGACCAUGCAUCUUGGUAAAUGUAAUUCUGUUUUUUGCUUACAAUGCUUGAUAAAUUUAAGAUUGAUGUCAAAUAUUA